AACGAACGCUGGCGGCAGGCUUAACACACGCAAGUCGAACGCCCCGCAAGGGGAGUGGCAGACGGGUGAGUAACGCGUGGGAAUCUACCCAGUUCUACGGAACAACUGAGGGAAACUUCAGCUAAUACCGUAUACGCCCUACGGGGGAAAGAUUUAUCGGAAUUGGAUGAGCCCGCGUUGGAUUAGCUAGUUGGUGAGGUAACGGCUCACCAAGGCGACGAUCCAUAGCUGGUCUGAGAGGAUGAUCAGCCACACUGGGACUGAGACACGGCCCAGACUCCUACGGGAGGCAGCAGUGGGGAAUAUUGGACAAUGGGCGAAAGCCUGAUCCAGCCAUGCCGCGUGAGUGAUGAAGGCCUUAGGGUUGUAAAGCUCUUUCAGUGGGGAAGAUAAUGACGGUACCCACAGAAGAAGCCCCGGCUAACUUCGUGCCAGCCGCCGCAGUAAAAC
rnacentral:rRNA from 1 species